UACAGAGGUCCCAAGCGUUGUUCGGAUUCACUGGGCGUAAAGGGUGCGUAGGUGGCUACUUUAAGUUUGAUGUGAAAGCUCCGGGCUCAACCCGGAAAUGGCAUUGAAGACUAUUGAGCUAGAGGUUUGGAGGGGGGACUGGAAUACUUGGUGUAGCAGUGAAAUGCGUAGAUAUCAAGUGGAACACCAGUGGCGAAGGCGAGUCCCUGGACAACACCUGACACUGAGGCACGAAAGCUAGGGGAGCAAACGGG
rnacentral:rRNA from 1 species